rnacentral:rRNA from 1 species
AGGAUAAACGCUGGCGGCGUGCCUAACACAUGCAAGUCGAACGCGCUUUCGGGCUUCGGUGCGAGAGCGAGUGGCGGACGGGUGAGUAACACAUGGGUACCUACCUUGGAGUGAGGGAUACCGGCGAGAAAUCGCCGACAAUACCGCAUAGGCUUCUUCACAAGGGAAGCAAAGUGACGCGAGUCACGCUUUGAGAUGGGCCUGUGGCCGAUUAGCUAGUUGGGGGGGUAACGGCUUCCCAAGGCGACGAUCGGUAGCUGGUCUGAGAGGACGAUCAGCCACACUGGGAUUGAGAACGGCCCAGACUCCUACGGGGGGCAGCAGUGAGGAAUUUUCCGCAAUGGAGGCAACUCUGACGGAGCAACGCCGCGUGCAGGAGGAAGGUUUUCGGAUCGUAAACUGCUUUUCUCGGGGACGAGCAAGGACGGUACCCGAGGAAGAAGCCCGGCUAACUACGCGCCAGCAGCCGC